CGUAAAGCGCAUGCAGGCGGCCUGUUAAGUUCAGAUGUGAAAGCCCGGGGCUUAACCUCGGGAAUUGCAUUUGAAACUGGCAGGCUAGAGUCUUGUAGAGGGGGGUAGGAAUUUCAGGUGUAGCGGUGAAAUGCGUAGAGAUCUGAAGGAAUACCAGUGGCGAAGGCGGCCCCCUGGACAAAGACUGACGCUCAGAUGCGAAAGCGUGGGGAGCAAACAGGAUUAGAUACCCCUGGUAG
rnacentral:rRNA from 1 species